CGUCCUGGAAGGCUGUCCACAUCUUCGGUAUCAGCUAUACCAUCCAGUGCUGUGAGAGUGGCAGCUAAUGAGUUGCAUAAUCCUCCUAGGAGCCAAGAGAAUGGAGUUCCUGCUGACAAUCUGGGGCAGAGUUCACUUCGCACAGCACCUUGUGAAGUGGAAAGCACAGCUGACACGCCAACAGCAGCAACAUCGCCACACGCCUUUGCUGAGACUACUAGCUGUAGCCCCAACAAUGAGGAGUGUGAAGUGGCCACCGCGCUUCUGCAGCUAGCCGCCUGCAGCCAAGAUGUGGAGGAGAUCAUGAAGAGUACA